rnacentral:rRNA from 1 species
GAUGAACGCUGGCGGCGUGCUUAACACAUGCAAGUCGAACGAAGCACCUCUCCCGUAGAUUGUCACAGCUUGCCGUCGGUUGAUUCAUUUGCGGUGACUGAGCGUCGCACGGGUGAGUAACGCGUGGGUAACCUGCCUCAUAGAGGGGGAAUACUGUUGGAAACGACUGCUAUUACCACAUAGUAAGGAUAUUUCUCAUGUUUUCUUCUUGAAAGAUUUAUCGCUAUGGGUUGGACCCGCUUCCGAUUAGCUAGUUCGUAAGGUAACGGCAUACCAGGGCGACGAUCAGUAGCCGGCUAGUGAGAGUGGACGGACACACUGGGAGUGGGACACGGCCCAAACUCCUACGGGAGGCAGCAGUGGGUGAUAUUGCACAGUGGGGGAAAUGCUGAUGCAGCGACGCCGCGAGAAUGAAGAAGUAAUUCAAUAUGUAAUGCGCAAUCAGCAGGGAAGGUAAUGACGGUACCUGACUAAGAAGCCCCGGCUAACUACGUG